CAGGUUGAAGCGAGGGUAAAACCUCGUGGAGGACCGAACCACGUUGCUGUUGAAAAAGCAUGGGAUGAGCUGUGGAUAGCGGAGAAAUUCCAAUCGAACCCGGAGAUAGCUGGUUCUCUCCGAAAUAGCUUUAGGGCUAGCGUCGAGUAUGAGUAGUGGAGGUAGAGCACUGAAUGGGCUAGGGGGCAUAGCGCUUACCGAACCUUAUCAAACUCCGAAUGCCACAUACUUUGAGCUCGGCAGUCAGACUACGAAUGAUAAGAUCCGUGGUCAAAAGGGAAACAGCCCAGAUCGUCAGCUAAGGUCCCAAAGUGUAAGUUAAGUGGGAAAGGAUGUGAGAUUUCUAAGACAACUAGGAUGUUGGCUUAGAAGCAGCCAUUCAUUAAAAGAGUGCGUAAUAGCUCACUAGUCGAGAGAUCUUGCGCCGAAAAUGUAACGGGGCUAAACUUACCACCGAAGCUACGGGCUUGAACUUAGUUCAAGCGGUAGGAGAGCGUCGUAACCGGGCUGAAGUCGUACCGUAAGGAGCGGUGGACUGGUUACGAGUGAGAAUGUUGGCAUCAGUAGCGAGAUGUGGGUGAGAAUCCCACAGGCCGAAAACCUAAGGUUUCCUCAGGAAGGUUCGUCCGCUGAGGGUUAGUCGGGACCUAAGCCGAGGCCGAAAGGCGUAGGUGAUGGACAACUGGUUGAUAUUCCAGUACCACUACCAUCGUUAUUAUCGAUGGCGUGACGCAGGAGGAUAGUGUGUGCUAGCUAUUGGAUGCUAGUCUAAGCGUUUAGGCAGUGAGAGUAGGCAAAUCCGCUCUCAUAAUGCUGAGGCGUGAUGGGGAAGGUUCCACGGAACCGAAGUACAUGAUUCCACGCUGCCAAGAAAAGCGUCUAGAGAGAGAAGUAGUGCCCGUACCGCAAACCGACACAGGUAGGUGAGGAGAGAAUCCUAAGGCCGGCGGAAGAAUUACAGUUAAGGAACUCGGCAAAUUGACCCCGUAAGUUCGCGAGAAGGGGUGCCUACGAGAGUAGGCCGCAGAGAAUAGGCCCAAGCAACUGUUUAGCAAAAACACAGGUCUCUGCUAAAGCGUAAGCUGAUGUAUAGGGGCUGACGCCUGCCCGGUGCUGGAAGGUUAAGGGGAACACUUAGCGCAAGCGAAGGUGUGAACUUAAGCCCCAGUAAACGGCGGCCGUAACUAUAACGGUCCUAAGGUAGCGAAAUUCCUUGUCAGGUAAGUUCUGACCCGCACGAAUGGCGUAAUGACUUGGGCACUGUCUCAACUGUAAAUCCGGCGAAGUUGUAGUGCGAGUGAAGAUGCUCGCUACCCGCGAUUGGACGGAAAGACCCCGUAGAGCUUUACUGUAGCUUAGCAUUGAGUUUUGGUAUUGUCUGUACAGGAUAGGUGGGAGACUAGGAAACCAGGGCGUCAGCCUUGGUGGAGUCAACCUUGGGAUACCACCCUGACAGUACUGAAAUUCUAACUGGCGGCCAUGAAUCUGGUCACAGGACAUUGUUAGGUGGGCAGUUUGACUGGGGCGGUCGCCUCCUAAAAAGUAACGGAGGCGCCCAAAGGUUCCCUCAGAACGGUCGGAAAUCGUUCGAAGAGUGCAAAGGCAGAAGGGAGCCUGACUGCGACACCCACAAGUGGAGCAGGGACGAAAGUCGGGCUUAGUGAUCCGGUGGUACCUCGUGGGAGGGCCAUCGCUCAACGGAUAAAAGCUACCUCGGGGAUAACAGGCUGAUCUCCCCCAAGAGUCCACAUCGACGGGGAGGUUUGGCACCUCGAUGUCGGCUCGUCGCAUCCUGGGGCUGAAGUAGGUCCCAAGGGUUGGGCUGUUCGCCCAUUAAAGCGGCACGCGAGCUGGGUUCAGAACGUCGUGAGACAGUUCGGUCCCUAUCCGUCGCGGGCGUAGGAAAUUUGAGAGGAGCUGUCCUUAGUACGAGAGGACCGGGAUGGACUGACCUCUGGUGUACCAGUUGUUCCGCCAGGAGCACAGCUGGGUAGCUAAGUCGGGAAUGGAUAAACGCUGAAAGCAUCUAAGCGUGAAGCCAACCUCAAGAUGAGAUUUCCCAUAGCGUAAGCUAGUAAGAUCCCUUGAAGAACACAAGGUUGAUAGGUCGGGGGUGUAAGCAUGGUAACAUGUUCAGCUGACCGAUACUAAUAGAUCGAGGGCUUGACCAA
rnacentral:rRNA from 1 species